UCAAACUUGGUCAUUUAGAGGAAGUAAAAGUCGUAACAAGGUUUCCGUAGGUGAACCUGCGGAAGGAUCAUUAUUGAUUUUAACAGGAUGUCGCUGGCUCUCAAGGGCAAUUGUGCACUCCUAAUAAAACCAAUAUCCACCUGUGCACCUUAAGUAGACUAGUAGGACUCAUCACAGUCCUUCCAGUCUAUGUUCCUUCACAAACCUUCUGAAAUGUAAAUGAAUGAUCAUUUGUAUAAUUAAUAACAACUUUCAACAAUGGAUCUCUUGGUUCUCGCAUCGAUGAAGAACGCAGC
rnacentral:misc_RNA from 1 species